CCCCUCCCCCUCCCCCCUUCCUCUUUUCUUUCUGGCUGGUGCAGCUGCUUGGGCCAGCUGUCUGUCUGUCCACUGCCUGUGCCCCAGCUGUGCGUGGACGUGACACCCACCCAGGUGCGUAGUUGGGCACAGCCCCCAGCGCGUGCUCCUGGACCCCCUGCAUGCAAGGACUGUCCCUCCAGUUACUGGGAGUGCUGUUAGCACACAUCCCUCGGCCGUCGGACCCUCAGGGGCUGCCUCAGCUGCAGAGGCCACUUCACCCAAGGGCAGCUGUCCUCCCACAUCCGAUGACUGCUCCGGGUGCAAAUACCGAAGUCCUGGCCAUCUUGGCCUCACUUGGGACAACCCCGAAGGCCUGUUCUGGCUCCAGAACUCCCUGUAGGGUCAACGGAAACAGUCCUUGGGCCUGCCUCGCAGCUUGACCUCUCCCUCUGCCCAGUCCUGCCUCUCCCUUCCUCAGUUGACUCCCGGGUGCCCAUUAGUAAACAUCCUGCACUUUGUACUCCGCCUCAGACUUGGCUUCCCUCGGACCCAGACUCUGGCUGCUCACGGAUCCACUCUAUCGAGGGACUUUGGGCUACAGGUUACGGAACACCUGACCAAACUGGCCUAAACAACACAGGGCUCAGGUAGAUAAGUGUUCUAGGUGAGGCGAGGCUUUACCCGGAAAUCCAAGCGAGGACACCUUCCUCUACUUUGUUCUCCAAAGUGUUCUCCUCCCCCUGAGGCUGGCACGCCUGUGGUCACGGUGUGGCUCCCAGCAUCUCCUGGCAGGGCGGGGGUUACGAUCCGUUGUUCACGUCCUACUGGAAAGAGUGUCUCUCCCAGAAUUUUCAGCCAAAGUCUUCCAUCUUCACUGUGACCGGACCGGCUUAUACCGUGUGCCCACCUUGAAGCAGUCAAGGAGGUGGAGAAUGCCUUCGGGUUUAGUCUAGGGCAUGCACACCACCCUUGGAGCAGGGGAGGGGUGGUUGGGGUGGAGCACGUGACCUAGGCUAAGGCGGUAGGCACCUCCGGAACCACACGGGUCCCCAAAUUGAAAUGGAAAUUUUUUUUUAAUAUUUUAUUAUUUUUUAAAUUAUUAUUAUUAUUUUUUAACAUUUAUUAACUUUUGAGAGACAGCACAAGCGAGGAGAAGCAGAGAGAGAGGAGACACAGAAUCCGAAGCAGGCUCCAGGCUCUGAGCUGUCAGCACAGAGCCCGACCCGGGCCUCGGGCCCACGAACUGUGAGAUUAUGACCUGAACUGAAGUUGGACACUUAACUGACUGAGCCACCAGGUGCCCCUAAAGAUUUUGUUUAAAAGUAAUCGCUAUACCUGGGGCGCCUGGGUGGCUCAGUCGGUUGAGCAGCCAACUCCGGCUCAGGUCAUGAUCUCACAGCUCGUGAGUUCGAGCCCCGCAUCAGGCUCCGUGCUGACAGCUCAGAGCCUGGAGCCUGCUUCGGAUCCUGUGUCUCCCUCUCUCUCUGCCCCUCCCCUGCUUGCGCUC